AAACCAAAGCUGGCGACCGGCGCACGGGUGAGUAACACGUAUCCAACCUGCCUCAUACUCGGGGAUAGCCUUUCGAAAGAAAGAUUAAUAUCCGAUAGCAUAUAUUUCCCGCAUGGGUUUUAUAUUAAAGAAAUUCGGUAUGAGAUGGGGAUGCGUUCCAUUAGUUUGUGGGGGUAACGGCCCACCAAGACUACGAUGGAUAGGGGUUCUGAGAGGAAGGUCCCCCACAUUGGAACUGAGACACGGUCCAA
rnacentral:rRNA from 1 species